rnacentral:rRNA from 1 species
CGCGAUUCGCCCUUCGGGGUGCACCAGGCGCGAAAACUUUGCAAUGCGGGAAACCGUGACAAGGGAACUCUGAGUGCCCGUUAAAUCGGGCUGUCCAUCGGUUUAAAUAACCGGUGAAGAAAGGGCCGGGCAAGACCGGUGCCAGCCGCCGCGGUAAUACCGGCGGCUCGAGUGGUGGCCACUAUUACUGGGCUUAAAGCGUUCGUAGCUGGUUUGUUAAGUCUCUGGGGAAAUCUUCCGGCUUAACCGGAAGGCGUCUCAGGGAUACUGGCAGACUAGGGACCGGGAGAGGUGAGAGGUACUCCAGGGGUAGGAGUGAAAUCCUGUAAUCCUUGGGGGACCACCUGUGGCGAAGGCGUCUCACCAGAACGGCUCCGACAGUGAGGGACGAAGGCUGGGGGAGCAAACCGGAUUAGAUACCCGGGUAGUCCCAGCUGUAAACGAUGCGCGUUAGGUGUAUCGGUGACCACGAGUCACCGAGGUGCCGAAGAGAAAUCGUGAAACGUGCCGCCUGGGAAGUACGGUCGCAAGGCUGAAACUUAAAGGAAUUGGCGGGGGAGCAC